rnacentral:rRNA from 1 species
GCCUACGGGAGGCAGCAGUGGGGAAUUUUUCGCAAUGGGGGCAACCCUGACGAAGCAAUGCCGCGUGGAUGAAGAAGGCCUUCGGGUUGUAAAGUCCUUUCGUGGAGGACGAAAAGGCGGGUUCUAAUACA